rnacentral:rRNA from 1 species
GACGAACGCUGGCGGCGUGCUUAACACAUGCAAGUCGAACGCUGAAGCCUGGUGCUUGCACCGGGUGGAUGAGUGGCGAACGGGUGAGUAAUACGUGAGUGACCUGCCUUUGACUCUGGGAUAAGCCUGGGAAACUGGGUCUAAUACCGGAUGCGACUACUGCCCGCAUGGGCUGGUGGUGGAAAGGGUUAUGUACUGGGUCUUAGAUGGGCUCACGGCCUAUCAACUGGUUGGUGGGGUAAUGGCCUACCAAGGCGACGACGGGUAGCCGGCCUGAGAGGGUGACCGGCCACACUGGGACUGAGACACGGCCCAGACUCCUACGGGAGGCAGCAGUGGGGAAUAUUGCACAAUGGGCGCAAGCCUGAUGCAGCGACGCCGCGUGAGGGAUGACGGCCUUCGGGUUGUAAACCUCUUUCAGCAGGGAAGAAGCGGAAGUGACGGUACCUGCAGAAGAAGCGCCGGCUAACUACGUGCCAGCAGCCGCGGUAAUACGUAGGGCGCAAGCGUUGUCCGGAAUUAUUGGGCGUAAAGAGCUCGUAGGCGGCUUGUCGCGUCUGCUGUGAAAGCCCGGGGCUUAACUCCGGGUGUGCAGUGGGUACGGGCAGGCUAGAGUGCAGUAGGGGUAACUGGAAUUCCUGGUGUAGCGGUGAAAUGCGCAGAUAUCAGGAGGAACACCGAUGGCGAAGGCAGGUUACUGGGCUGUUACUGACGCUGAGGAGCGAAA